CAGUCGCCGCGGGAAUACGAAGGGUGCAAGCGUUACUCGGAAUUACUGGGCGUAAAGCGUGCGUAGGUGGUGGUUUAAGUCCGUUGUGAAAGCCCUGGGCUCAACCUGGGAAUUGCAGUGGAUACUGGGUCACUAGAGUGUGGUAGAGGAUAGUGGAAUUUCCGGUGUAGCAGUGAAAUGCGUAGAGAUCUGAAGGAACAUCUGUGGCGAAGGCGACUAUCUGGGCCAACACUGACACUGAGGCACGAAAGCGUGGGGAGCAAACAGGAUUAGAUACCCCCGUAGUCCCUGUCUCUUAUAC
rnacentral:rRNA from 1 species